UACGGGGGGAGCAAGCGUUGUUCGGAUUUACUGGGCGUAAAGGGCGCGUAGGCGGCCACCGCAAGUCAGUUGUGAAAUCUCUGGGCUUAACCCAGAAAGGUCAACUGAUACUGCGGGGCUAGAGUGCAGAAGGGGCAACUGGAAUUCUCGGUGUAGCGGUGAAAUGCGUAGAUAUCGAGAGGAACACCUGCGGCGAAGGCGGGUUGCUGGGCUGACACUGACGCUGAGACGCGAAAGCGUGGGGAGCAAACAGG
rnacentral:rRNA from 1 species